rnacentral:rRNA from 1 species
ACAUCCAGAGAAUUUAGCAGAGAUGCUUUAGUGCCUUCGGGAACUCUGAGACAGGUGCUGCAUGGCUGUCGUCAGCUCGUGUUGUGAAAUGUUGGGUUAAGUCCCGNAACGAGCGCAACCCUUAUCCUUUGUUGCCAGCACGUAAUGGUGGGAAACUCAAAGGAGACUGCCGGUGAUAAACCGGAGGAAGGUGGGGAUGACGUCAAGUCAUCAUGGCCCUUACGAGUAGGGCUACACACGUGCUACAAUGGCGCAUACAAAGAGAAGCGACCUCGCGAGAGCAAGCGGACCUCAUAAAGUGCGUCGUAGUCCGGAUUGGAGUCUGCAACUCGACUCCAUGAAGUCGGAAUCGCUAGUAAUCGUAAAUCAGAAUGUUACGGUGAAUACGUUCCCGGGCCUUGUACACACCGCCCGUCACACCAUGGGAGUGGGUUGCAAAAGAAGUAGAUAGCUUAACCUUCGGGAGGGCGUUUACCACUUUGUGAUUCAUGACUGGGGUGAAGUCGUAACAAGGUAGGCGUAGCGAG